rnacentral:lncRNA from 1 species
UGAGGGUGAACUGGGGGACCCUGUGGUGGCACCUGCUGAUGUGGUGGGGGUACUGGAAUGUGUUGUGGCGGUGCCUGGUGGUACUGUGGUUGUGGUACCGGGUCGUACCGCGGCUGUGGUGCCAGGUGGUACUGUGGAGGAGCAGGCUCCUGCCGGGGUGGCUCGGGAUCAGCCUGCUGUAGCGGGGGCUCAACCUGCGAUAGCGGAAGAGGUCCGGGUAACUCCCUUCUCUCCUCUCGCCUUUGCUGGGCAGCUACGAGAGCUUCCACCAUCUCAAAUAGUCUGUCUAAAUCCUCCCGAAGCGAAUUAUCUUGGGCCGCUUGGUUUAGUGGGGGCCUUCCUCUCCUCAUUUCCGUGUACCUGCAUUUACAAGGAAUGGUUGAGUAAUGAUAUAUCGGUGAGUAUUUCUCUAAGGCACUAUUGUGUAAGGGAUGG